UACGUAGGUGACAAGCGUUGUCCGGAUUUACUGGGCGUAAAGAGCGCGUAGGCGGUCGUGACAAGUCACUUGUGAAAUCUCCGGGCUUAACUCGGAACGGUCAAGUGAUACUGUCGGACUAGAGUACAGAAGGGGCAACUGGAAUUCUCGGUGUAGCGGUGAAAUGCGUAGAUAUCGAGAGGAACACCUGCGGCGAAGGCGGGUUGCUGGGCUGAUACUGACGCUGAGGCGCGAAAGCCAGGGGAGCGAACGGG
rnacentral:rRNA from 1 species